rnacentral:rRNA from 1 species
UACAGAGGUCCCGAGCGUUGUUCGGAUUCAUUGGGCGUAAAGGGCGCGUAGGCGGCCUACUAAGUCGGACGUGAAAUCCCUCGGCUCAACCGAGGAACUGCGUCUGAUACUGGAUGGCUUGAGAUUGGGAGAGGGAUGCGGAAUUCCAGGUGUAGCGGUGAAAUGCGUAGAUAUCUGGAGGAACACCGGUGGCGAAGGCGGCAUCCUGGACCAACACUGACGCUGAGGUGCGAAAGCGUGGGGAGCAAACAGG